rnacentral:tRNA from 6 species
GCCGACGUAGCUCAGCUGGUAGAGCAACGCAUUCGUAAUGCGUAGGUCGUAGGUUCGAAUCCCAUCGUCGGCU